CGGACGGGUGAGUAACACGUGGAUAACCUACCUAUAAGACUGGGAUAACCACGGGAAACCGGAGCUAAUACCGGAUAAUAUAUUGAACCGCAUGGUUCAAUAGUGAAAGACGGUUUUGCUGUCACUUAUAGAUGGAUCCGCGCCGCAUUAGCUAGUUGGUAAGGUAACGGCUUACCAAGGCAACGAUGCGUAGCCGACCUGAGAGGGUGAUCGGCCACACUGGAACUGAGACACGGUCCAG
rnacentral:rRNA from 1 species